rnacentral:rRNA from 1 species
AUUGAACGCUGGCGGCAUGCCUUACACAUGCAAGUCGAACGGUAACGGGCCUUCGGGUGCCGACGAGUGGCGAACGGGUGAGUAAUACAUCGGAACGUGCCCGAUCGUGGGGGAUAACGAGGCGAAAGCUUUGCUAAUACCGCAUACGAUCUACGGAUGAAAGCAGGGGACCGCAAGGCCUUGCGCGGACGUGGCGGCCGAUGGCAGAUUAGGUAGUUGGUGGGAUAAAAGCUUACCAAGCCGACGAUCUGUAGCUGGUCUGAGAGGAUGAUCAGCCACACUGGGACUGAGACACGGCCCAGACUCCUACGGGAGGCAGCAGUGGGGAAUUUUGGACAAUGGGCGCAAGCCUGAUCCAGCCAUGCCGCGUGCAGGAUGAAGGCCUUCGGGUUGUAAACUGCUUUCGUACGGAACGAAAAGCCUUCUUUUAAUACAGGAGGGUCAUGACGGUACCGUAAGAAUAAGCACCGGCUAACUACGUG